GACGAACGCUGGCGGCGCGCCUAACACAUGCAAGUCGAACGAGAGAUGAGGAGCUUGCUCUUCAAAUCGAGUGGCGAACGGGUGAGUAACGCGUGAGGAACCUGCCUCAAAGAGGGGGACAACAGUUGGAAACGACUGCUAAUACCGCAUAAGCCCACGGCUCGGCAUCGAGCAGAGGGAAAAGGAGCAAUCCGCUUUGAGAUGGCCUCGCGUCCGAUUAGCUGGUUGGUGAGGUAACGGCCCACCAAGGCGACGAUCGGUAGCCGGACUGAGAGGUUGAACGGCCACAUUGGGACUGAGACACGGCCCAGACUCCUACGGGAGGCAGCAGUGGGGAAUAUUGCACAAUGGGGGAAACCCUGAUGCAGCGACGCCGCGUGGAGGAAGAAGGUCUUCGGAUUGUAAACUCCUGUUGUUGAGGAAGAUAAUGACGGUACUCAACAAGGAAGUGACGG
rnacentral:rRNA from 1 species